GGCCGACUAGCUCAGUUGGUUAGAGCGUCGUGCUAAUAUACAUCUUGGAUCGCUAUACUAUUAACGCGAAGGUCUUGGGUUCGAUCCCCACGUUGGCCA